CUUCGGUGGGGAUUAGUGGCGAACGGGUGAGUAACACGUGGGCAAUCUGCCCUUCACUCUGGGACAAGCCCUGGAAACGGGGUCUAAUACCGGAUAACACUUCUGCUCUCAUGGGCAGGGGUUAAAAGCUCCGGCGGUGAAGGAUGAGCCCGCGGCCUAUCAGCUUGUUGGUGAGGUAAUGGCUCACCAAGGCGACGACGGGUAGCCGGCCUGAGAGGGCGACCGGCCACACUGGGACUGAGACACGGCCCAGACUCCUACGGGAGGCAGCAGUGGGGAAUAUUGCACAAUGGGCGAAAGCCUGAUGCAGCGACGCCGCGUGAGGAUGACGGCCUUCGGGUUGUAAACCUCUUUCAGCAGGGAAGAAGCGAAAGUGACGGUACCUGCAGAAGAAGCGCCGGCUAACUACGUGCCAGCAGCCGCGGUAAUACGUAGGGCGCAAGCGUUGUCCGGAAUUAUUGGGCGUAAAGAGCUCGUAGGCGGCUUGUCACGUCGGGUGUGAAAGCCCGGGGCUUAACCCCGGGUCUGCAUUCGAUACGGGCUAGCUAGAGUGUGGUAGGGGAGAUCGGAAUUCCUGGUGUAGCGGUGAAAUGCGCAGAUAUCAGGAGGAACACCGGUGGCGAAGGCGGAUCUCUGGGCCAUUACUGACGCUGAGGAGCGAAAGCGUGGGGAGCGAACAGGAUUAGAUACCCUGGUAGUCCACGCCGUAAACGGUGGGAACUAGGUGUUGGCGACAUUCCACGUCGUCGGUGCCGCAGCUAACGCAUUAAGUUCCCCGCCUGGGGAGUACGGCCGCAAGGCUAAAACUCAA
rnacentral:rRNA from 1 species